CCUACGGGAGGCAGCAGUCGAGAAUCAUUCACAAUGGGGGAAACCCUGAUGGUGCGACGCCGCGUGGGGGAAUGAAGGUCUUCGGAUUGUAAACCCCUGUCAUGUGGGAGCAAAUUAAAAAGAUAGUACCACAAGAGGAAGAGACGGCUAACUCUGUGCCAGCAGCCGCGGUAAUAAGGAGGUCUCAAGCGUUGUUCGGAAUCACUGGGCGUAAGGCGUGCGUAGGCUGUUUCGUAAGGCGUGUGUGAAAGGCGCGGGCUCAACCCGCGGACGGCACAUGAUACUGCGAGACUAGAGUAAUGGAGGGGGAACCGGAAUUCUCGGUGUAGCAGUGAAAUGCGUAGAUAUCGAGAGGAACACUCGUGGCGAAGGCGGGUUCCUGGACAUUAACUGACGCUGAGGCACGAAGGCCAGGGGAGCGAAAGGGAUUAGAUACCCGGGUAGUC
rnacentral:rRNA from 1 species